rnacentral:tRNA from 2 species
AAUCCGUCGACUUUAGAAAUCGUGA